rnacentral:sRNA from 1 species
CUGUGAUCAACAUUGAUCGCGUGGCGUAGACGUUUGUUCCCGUUCUCCUGGCGCAUCCAGGUGCCGCAGGUGUUCCUCCCUCGCCUGUUGGCGAUGCGCCCUCCUGCCUCGCUCGUCGUUCAUCGAAGAGCGAGGCUUUUU